rnacentral:rRNA from 1 species
ACCGAACACGGAAGUUAAGCUCUCUAGCGCCGAUGGUAGUUGGGACUUUGUCCCUGUGAGAGUAGGACGUUGCCAGGC